CUUUAAAUGGACUUUAUAUUAUUUAAUUACGUCUUGAAUGAUCAAUCAAUUAGUCUUCAUGUGCAUCCAUAUACCUUUUAAUAUCGUGAGUAAACAUUUAUCCCAUUUCACUGAUAUGUUUUAUCAGUCGGAGGAAUGUAUUGGACUUGUGAGAUAUUAUUGAUAAAAAGGAAAAAGACUUAUAUAAGAAUCUUGAUAUACAGAGGGUAAAAAAGGUAAAUAAAGAAAGAUAAACAUACUAUAACCUAAAGAAGAAUAAGUCAUUUCUGACAUGUUUUAACACAGCUUUGUUAAUCCCUGUAUGCAGACAUACGUAUAUUUUUAAUGUGACCUUUUUGAGUUUGCGACAAUUUACAGUUUUAACAAUAGUAUUAUUCCUAUAGAUUAUGGUAUAUGAAACAAUUUUUAUUCAUCUUAAUCUUUAUAAUUUGAUGUUGUAUUUCAGAAUUGAGUGCAUUGCCAAAACAGAAAAAAUGACUGAAAUCAACCAGGAAGUUCAUAAUGACCAG
rnacentral:lncRNA from 1 species